GCCAAGAUAGCUCAGUCGGUAGAGCAUCCCCAUGGUAAGGGGAAGGUCCCGGGUUCAAUUCCCGGUCUUGGCUCUA
rnacentral:tRNA from 1 species